AUGGGGCAAGCUGGGAGGCCGCUCAUGCAGUUCACUAAAGAAGGUACAGAGCAAAACCAACUAAACCCAGCCCACAGAAAUUUUCUGUUUAGCAAGCAUAGGUGCUCUUUGGGUUUUGUUUGGAUACUUUUUUUUUUUUUUCAUUGAAUUUGAGUGUCUUUAGAGAAAGACACAGCCUCAGAGUUCAUCAACAGUUAUCUCUCUUUCCUUACGCAAACCCCUAGCCCACUGCAGUGUUACCUACAGGCAAUUGAAUUUGUAAUAGAUGGUUGUUGCAUCACUGAAGAUAGGCCAUGUGUUUUGCCAACUGGAGUUUGCAUAGAAUUAAAAUAAUCCAGACAGCAAAGGGGAUUUUUAAGGACUGUGUAAGGGAAAGAAAAAAAAAAAAUGACAGUUGAGACUAAUGGCAGGAAGAGAAAUUUUGAGAAUGUAAACCAAAUGAUCUAACAGUGAGUUGUAUUACGGGUUUGCUGGGCUGUGUAUAAUGGAAAUUUUGUACAGUAGAGGUUUAGUAGAAUAUUAAUUUCUCAUAAACGUAUUAUAAAAGGGGUUGUGUUCUGAGGAACCAAUCAAGUGCUCAGUGUCUCAGUACAAGGCAAGCACUAAGGACAUCAUGGACCGCAUUUGGGUGAGGUUAAUACAAAAGGGUAAAUCCUUGCAUUGGAGAGUCUUUCUCUACCCAUGUUAUUAUGUGAAAGCUUCCUGCCAUUCAUUCAGCUAAGGAAGUUAACUGCAUUUAGCUGGUAGAUAGGAGUUGACUUCAGCCAAUCAGAUGCUUCUGCUGACACUUGGAAAUUUGAGAGGGUGAAAGGGGACAGACAUUAUUGACAGAGAUUACUUACAGUUUAGUGUAUCCCAGGGAAAAACUUAGUCUGAAGUGAAAUUAUUCAGGCAGUUCAGGAAAUUCAGAAACCCAUUUAGAAACUAUGCCAACAAUUUCAAUGUAAAAAUUCAUAUAGAAUAUAAAGUUCUUGAGGAAGUUAAGCUGUAUGUAUUAAGAUGUAGCAUAGUGGAUUCAUUUAGACAGUUCAAAUCCCAAUUUACCACUUAUGUGUGGCCUUGAACAAGUUACUUAAUUUCUCUGUGCUUCAGUUUCUUUACAGCUUCAACCACCAAAGGCAAAAUGGGGAUGAUUACCAUGAUGGACAGCGGAGACAAAGCUGCAGUCACACUUGCAUAGAUGCUGACUAGGAUUAGCCAUCUAGGACUACCAUAACGGAACACCACAGACUGGGUGCCCUACACAACAGAAAGUUAUUUUCCCACAUUCUUGAGGUCGGAGGUCCACAGUCAGGGUAUUGGCAGGUAUGGUUUCUCCUGAGGCUUCUCUCCUCUGUUUGUAAAUGACUUUCUCUCUGUACAUGUACAUGCCUGGUGUCUUUUCCUCUUCUCAUAAGAACAUCAACCAUAUUGAAUUAGGGCCCCCAAACUUAUGACCUCUUUUAACCUUAAUUACCACUUGAAAUAUCCCAUUUCCAAAUAUAGUCACAAUAGGGGUUAGGGCUUAAACAUAUUGAUUUUAGAAGAACAAAAUUCAGUCCCAAAUAGGUACUAAUAGUGCCUAACUCACAGGGCUUCUAGGAGGAUUAAGUGAAGUAAUGUUUGGAAAUGUUUAGAACAGUGGCUGGUACAAAGUAGAGCUAUGCAAAGUUUGUGACUUGGGGGAAAAAAUUCAAGACUGCUUUUCAACCUCUCUGAAUUAAUUUCCUCAUCUGUAAAAUGGUAGGACCUCUCUUUUUGGCAGAUACAGGCACGUGUAUUAGUUACCUAUUUAUGCAUAACAAAUUACCCUAAAAUUUAGCAAAUUAAAUAAAAAACACUUAUUAUCUCA
rnacentral:lncRNA from 1 species